AACGAACGCUGGCGGCAUGCCUAACACAUGCAAGUCGAACGAGACCUUCGGGUCUAGUGGCGCACGGGUGCGUAACGCGUGGGAACCUGCCCUUAGGUUCGGAAAAACUCCCCGAAAGGGGUGCUAAUACCGGAUAAUGUCUUCGGACCAAAGAUUUAUCGCCUUUGGAUGGGCCCGCGUUGGAUUAGCUAGUUGGUAGGGUAAAAGCCUACCAAGGCGACGAUCCAUAGCUGGUCUGAGAGGAUGAUCAGCCACACUGGGACUGAGACACGGCCCAGACUCCUACGGGAAGCAGCAGUGGGGAAUAUUGGACAAUGGGCGAAAGCCUGAUCCAGCAAUGCCGCGUGAGUGAUGAAGGCCUUAGGGUUGUAAAGCUCUUUUACCCGGGAUGAUAAUGACAGUACCGGGAGAAUAAGCUCCGGCUAACUCCGUG
rnacentral:rRNA from 1 species